CAGCAGCCACGGUAAUACGAAGGGUGCAAGCGUUACUCGGAAUUACUGGGCGUAAAGCGUGCGUAGGUGGUGGUUUAAGUCCGUUGUGAAAGCCCUGGGCUCAACCUGGGAAUUGCAGUGGAUACUGGGUCACUAGAGUGUGGUAGAGGAUAGUGGAAUUUCCGGUGUAGCAGUGAAAUGCGUAGAGAUCUGGAGGAAUACCGGUGGCGAAGGCGGCCUCCUGGACAAAGACUGACGCUCAGGUGCGAAAGCGUGGGGAGCAAACAGGAUUAGAUACCCCGGUAGUCCCUGUCUCUUAUAA
rnacentral:rRNA from 1 species